rnacentral:rRNA from 1 species
GCCCAGCUUGCUGGGUGGAUCAGUGGCGAACGGGUGAGUAACACGUGAGCAAUCUGCCCCUGACUCUGGGAUAAGCGCUGGAAACGGCGUCUAAUACCGGAUACGAGCUGCGGCCGCAUGGUCGGCAGUUGGAAAGAUUUUUCGGUCAGGGAUGAGCUCGCGGCCUAUCAGCUUGUUGGUGAGGUAAUGGCUCACCAAGGCGUCGACGGGUAGCCGGCCUGAGAGGGUGACCGGCCACACUGGGACUGAGACACGGCCCAGACUCCUACGGGAGGCAGCAGUGGGGAAUAUUGCACAAUGGGCGGAAGCCUGAUGCAGCAACGCCGCGUGAGGGAUGACGGCCUUCGGGUUGUAAACCUCUUUUAGCAGGGAAGAAGCGAAAGUGACGGUACCUGCAGAAAAAGCGCCGGCUAACUACGUGCCAGCAGCCGCGGUAAUACGUAGGGCGCAAGCGUUAUCCGGAAUUAUUGGGCGUAAAGAGCUCGUAGGCGGUCUGUCGCGUCUGCUGUGAAAUCCCGAGGCUCAACCUCGGGUCUGCAGUGGGUACGGGCAGACUAGAGUGCGGUAGGGGAGAUUGGAAUUCCUGGUGUAGCGGUGGAAUGCGCAGAUAUCAGGAGGAACACCGAUGGCGAAGGCAGAUCUCUGGGCCGUAACUGACGCUGAGGAGCGAAAGGGUGGGGAGCAAACAGGCUUAGAUACCCUGGUAGUCCACCCCGUAAACGUUGGGAACUAGUUGUGGGGUCCAUUCCACGGAUUCCGUGACGCAGCUAACGCAUUAAGUUCCCCGCCUGGGGAGUACGGCCGCAAGGCUAAAACUCAAAGGAAUUGACGGGGACCCGCACAAGCGGCGGAGCAUGCGGAUUAAUUCGAUGCAACGCGAAGAACCUUACCAAGG